rnacentral:rRNA from 1 species
AGCCAGACUCCUACGGGAGGCAGCAGUGGGGAAUAUUGCACAAUGGGGGAAACCCUGAUGCAGCGACGCCGCGUGAGUGAAGAAGUAUUUCGGUAUGUAAAGCUCUAUCAGCAGGGAAGAAAAUGACGGUACCUGACUAAGAAGCCCCGGCUAACUACGUGCCAGCAGCCGCGGUAAUACGUAGGGGGCAAGCGUUAUCCGGAUUUACUGGGUGUAAAGGGAGCGUAGGUGGCAUGGUAAGCCAGAAGUGAAAACCCGGGGCUCAACCCCGCGGAUUGCUUUUGGAACUAUCAGGCUGGAGUGCUGGAGGGGUAAGCGGAAUUCCUAGUGUAGCGGUGAAAUGCGUAGAUAUUAGGAGGAACACCGGUGGCGAAGGCGGCUUACUGGACAGAAACUGACACUGAGGCUCGAAAGCGUGGGGAGCAAACAGGAUUAGAUACCCGAGUA